AGAGUUUGAUCAUGGCUCAGAUUGAACGCUGGCGGAAUGCUUUACACAUGCAAGUCGAACGAUGAACCCUAGCUUGCUAGGGGGAUUAGUGGCGAACGGGUGAGUAAUAUAUCGGAACGUGCCUUGUAAUGGGGGAUAACUAGUCGAAAGAUUAGCUAAUACCGCAUACGCCCUGAGGGGGAAAGUAGGGGAUCUUCGGACCUUACGUUAUAAGAGCGGCCGAUAUCUGAUUAGCUAGUUGGUGGGGUAAUGGCCUACCAAGGCGACGAUCAGUAGCUGGUCUGAGAGGACGACCAGCCACACUGGAACUGAGACACGGUCCAGACUCCUACGGGAGGCAGCAGUGGGGAAUUUUGGACAAUGGGCGCAAGCCUGAUCCAGCCAUUCCGCGUGAGUGAAGAAGGCCUUCGGGUUGUAAAGCUCUUUCGCAAGGGAAGAAAACUUACCAUCGAAUAAAUGGUGAGGCUGACGGUACCUUGAUAAGAAGCACCGGCUAACUACGUGCCAGCAGCCGCGGUAAUACGUAGGGUGCGAGCGUUAAUCGGAAUUACUGGGCGUAAAGCGUGCGCAGGCGGUUUGGCAAGUCAGAUGUGAAAUCCCCGAGCUCAACUUGGGAACUGCGUUUGAAACUGCCAGACUAGAAUAUGUCAGAGGGGGGUAGAAUUCCACGUGUAGCAGUGAAAUGCGUAGAGAUGUGGAGGAAU
rnacentral:rRNA from 1 species